UGGUGGAGUGAUUUGUCUGGUUAAUUCCGAUAACGAACGAGACUCUGUCCUGCUAACUAGGUUGUGUUUUCUCGGGUUUGGUGUUCUGGUGUUCCUUCUCGGGCGCCGGCCCAAUCCACUUGUGAACACAACACUCUUCUUAGAGGGACUGGCGGCUGUUAGCCGCACGAGAUAGAGCAAUAACA
rnacentral:rRNA from 1 species